GAAAAACAAGGACUGAGGUGGAGCACACAAUUCAUCCCCCUUUCCUCCAGAACCAACCACCUAAUGAGAAACCUUGGGAACUAGAUGCACAGGACAUGAUUAUUCAGUGUUUCGUCCAAGAAGUUGGAAGCUUGUGGCAGCUAUUCAUGGAAAUGAAUUCCACCAUGGUUUUGACUGUGAGGUGGCCAAGGCAAGUGCGAGAGUGAAUAAUCACCUACAGGCAAAGCUGACCAAGAAAACUUCUCAGAAACCGCCCACCACGAGGAACCUUAGAAAAAUCGGAGGCUCAAAACUCUGUAGCCAGGGUUCCAAGGUGAAUGAAGAGCUGAAUCAGAACGGACCAGAGGAGGUCCCAGAGAGUGUGGAGAUGCCUGUCAUUCCAGCGGGACCGGUGGGCAGCC
ensembl:lncRNA